UUUAAAAAAAAAAAAAAUUCCUUCGUAUGAGGACUUGCGGAGUCUAAAGAGUAGUACUUUUUCGACUAGGAAGUCUUUCAGAUAGGAUAUUGUUUACAAGAAAUCUGAGCAUUAAUUAAUGCAAUUAAUGGUAAAAAAAAAUAAAUAAAGCCAAGUGUAUACAAGAGCAUUAGAGAUGAAAAUGGGACACAGUAUUUACAAGAAGUUGAGAGAACUCAUAUUGAACAAGGAACUUGGAAUUGAGUCUGUUAGGUUGUUGAAACUUAGAUCCUUGCAAGCAUUUAGACAAAAAAAAGUCAAACAAAUGAAAUGAGACUAGGAUUUGAAAUUAUAAGAUAUUUGAAUUGCUUGUAUUUCAUUUGAAAUGAAAAUUCAUCAAAUAAAUCUUAAGAUAUAUAACUAAAUUUCAAUAUCAACUUUGCAAUUUGAGGUUCUUUAUGACUAUAACUUACAACCUUUUUAAUCUUGUAUAUUGUCCAAUGCCAGAUGGGAUAGUGUCACUUAUCAAUGCAUUCCUUAGAUUCCUGUGGGGGGAAAAAUAGUAAUUAUAUAAAAGAAUCUUAUUAUGGUAAUAAUACAAUAUGAGCUUAGUACAAGACUCGUAUCCAGAGAGCUACCGCCUCAAGUUUAUUAUGGUAAUUAUAAUAAAAGAAUGUUAUUAUGGUAAUAAUAAUAAUAACUUCUAUUUAUGUAACUAAUGGAGUGUGUAAUGGUAUGAGUUUGAGAGAGAGCUUCUAAAAGUUGGUACUCACAAGGAUUCCACAAAUAUCAAGUUAGAAAAGCUGGAUGGUUUGGGACCUUCGAAAGAAUUCCCCUGGAGUUUGUUUUUUCACAAAAUGAUCUAAAUUUAAUUUAUAAUUUUUAUGUGAAAUGAUCCAAUGAGUAACCUGAAUUGAUUUGUAACUGACUGGACUUAACUACCCCAAAAAGAUAAAUUGUGAAUGAUCCAAAAUUCAAAAAAAUCAAAAUCAAAAUACUCAAAUUUAAACUCGUGGGACUCAACUUGACUCAUUUAACACAUCUAUCAAAAUCACCAAUUAAAAAAUUUUAAAUGAAGAUAAAAUUAUUAAAAGUAAAAGGAAAU
rnacentral:misc_RNA from 1 species